rnacentral:sRNA from 1 species
GUCAGCCGCAUAUUCUUUUGCAUCGCCAGCCGAGCUACAUCGCUGAGACACCAUGGGGAAGGUGAAGGUUGGAAUCAACGGAUUUGGUCGUAUCGGGCGCCUGGUCACCAGGGCUGCUUUUAACUCUGGUAAAGUGGAUAUUGUUGCCAUCAAUGACCCCUUCAUUGACCUCAACUACAUGGUUUACAUGUUCCAGUAUGAUUCCACCCAUGGCAAAUUCCAUGGCACCGUCAAGGCUGAGAACGGGAAGCUUGUCAUCAAUGGAAAUCCCAUCACCAUCUUCCAGGAGUGAGUGGAAGACAGAAUGGAAGAAAUAUGCUUUGGGGAGGCAACUAGGAUGGUGUGGCUCCCUUGGGUCUAUGGUAAGCUCAUGUCCCUCAAUAUGGUCCUGUCCCCGUCUCCCCCCACCCCCAUAGGCGAGAUCCCUCCAAAAUCAAGUGGGGCGAUGCUGGCGCUGAGUACGUCGUGGAGUCCACUGGCGUCUUCACCACCAUGGAGAAGGCUGGGGCUCAUUUGCAGGGGGGAGCCAAAAGGGUCAUCAUUUCUGCCCCCUCUGCUGACGCCCCCAUGUUCGUCAUGGGUGUGAACCAUGAGAAGUACGACAACAGCCUCAAGAUCGUCAGCAAUGCCUCCUGCACCACCAACUGCUUAGCACCCCUGGCCAAGGUUAUCCAUGACAACUUUGGUAUCGUGGAAGGACUCAUGACCACGGUCCAUGCCAUCACUGCCACCCAGAAGACUGUGGAUGGCCCCUCCGGGAAACUGUGGCGUGAUGGCCGCGGGGCUCUCCAGAACAUCAUCCCUGCCUCUACUGGCGCUGCCAAGGCUGUGGGCAAGGUCAUCCCUGAGCUGAACGGGAAGCUCACUGGCAUGGCCUUCCGUGUCCCCACUGCCAAUGUGUCAGUGGUGGACCUGACCUGCCGUCUAGAAAAAGCUGCCAAAUAUGAUGACAUCAAGAAGGUGGUGAAGCAGGCGUCGGAGGGCCCCCUCAAGGGCAUCCUGGGCUACACUGAGCACCAGGUGGUCUCCUCCGACUUCAACAGCGACACCCACUCCUCCACCUUCGAUGCUGGGGCUGGCAUUGCCCUCAACGACCACUUUGUCAAGCUCAUUUCCUGGUAUGACAACGAAUUUGGCUACAGCAACAGGGUGGUGGACCUCAUGGCCCACAUGGCUUCCAAGGAGUAAGAGCCCUGGACCACCAGCCCCAGCGAGAGCACGAGAGGAAGAGACAGACCCUCACUGCUGGGGAGUCCCUGCCACACUCAGUCCCCCACCACACUGAAUCUCCCUUCCUCACAGUUUCCAUGUAGACCCCUUGAAGAGGGGAGG